rnacentral:piRNA from 1 species
UCCCAGUAUGUGGUGUUUUGGUAUGGCAGC